GUGAACGUCCUGUUGACACGUGUGUUGUUUGGGUUAAUUGAUUUCCGAAGGGUUUCUUCUGUGUGUAGUUUUGGUGCCUCUAGGAAAUUUCCGGUGAUCCUUUUUCACGUUCUUCGAUUCCGAUGUUGCACUAUCGUGGUCUUCUAUUUGGGUGCCUAUAGCUGCCUAUAGCACCGUUUAGCUAUUCUCCCCACGUUUCCUCUCUCGAUAACUCCCGAAAUCCCCAAUCAGAUCGCCUCUCUUCUUGGUCGUCUCCGGCAUCCACGAGGGCGGCGUGGCCCGUGGGGUGGAGGGGCGUGGCGCGGCGUCCUAUGACGAUGGUGGCGCAUGCGUGCUGGUGAAUGGUGCGGAAGGCCUAUCCAUGUCCUGGUGGUGCCGCCAGCCACCGGCCGCGGAGACCGACGGCGAACGGCAGCGCGACCACUGGGAGCGCUCCCUGCGUCGGCCAUGGCUUCUCCUCCUCCGUCUCGGCUUCGUGGUGGUGGAGGUGCAGCUGGUGGACGUUCCCGUGGUGGUGAUUGCACGCGCCGCCGCUGCCCGCGACGCCCCCACGCCUACAUCGUCGUCCUCCCUCCCGCGGCGUCGACUGCUUCAAGAAUGUCGAUCAAAUCGGCGAGGGAACCUACGGGAAAGUCAACAUGGCAGGAGACGAAGACGACCAAGAUUGUGACCCUCGAUAAGAUCCGCGCGAGUAUAGGGGUGGUCUCCUGGCGCGGGCGCGGGAGGCAUGAACGUCGGGUCGCUGAUCUCCCCGGCGACCAGCCUCGGCUGCUACUGGUUUGCCUUGGUUUUCUGCUACUGUUCCUCCUGGCACGGCUGGUUCAGCGCGGACCACUGCUUCUUGUUUUGUGCUGGACACUUCUCCGGAUGUGCGCGUUCAUGCCGGUGGGAAGCCUUCUUCCAAUGAUUCCCAACACUAGAUUCCUGGCCUUCCAGCUACCUCUAUGAUAGCGAGUGAGGCUGGUCCAUCCUCUUCACGAUCUGUUCGAGCUGCGGAAUCUGCACACAAGAGAAGAUUUGUACGAGCUUGAUUUUGCUGUUAUCGGCCGUGAGGGAGACAUAACGGAGGAUUGUGUGCCACAAAACUGCAUCGACCAAUUCAGGGAUCAACGGAAAGAAGGAUCAAUCUUAACGAUUAAUUUUUUUGUUGUCGACAUGCCCAAGACGGCAAGACCUAUAUAGUAUCAGACUGUUCAAUUUCUAUCAGGAACCCAUUAUAUGGUGCAUUCAGUCCAAUUUCUUUUAUACCUGCUUUCUUCCCCUCAAAACAACUAAUGAUGCUUUCAUGUACAAUACCUUCUUUAUUUGUUGCUAUGACCAUUGUUCAGUCAACAGGUAUAAAGAUUUCAGCCACGCACCCCAAAUACUCACCGGUUGGAUUUACCGGCCGCUAACUUUAACCUCUAUCUGGUUUUGACACAAUAUAGGUGUGUGGGCUCUCAAGAGCACACACAUAACAUGUUGUUAUAUAAAUUACUACAGUUUUGAUGCCGGUGGUUUUAUAUUAAUGCAUAAUCAUUACCCCAAGUUGUUAUAUCCGUGCACUGUAUUGUAUUACACAAGGGGGAGAAGCUUUACCACAAGCUGCAGGUGUAUGGUCAAUCUUCAGCAUUGCAAGAGGCAUGUGGUAUUUUUUGGUAUUGUUAGUCAGCUUUUAGCACUAAGCAAACUAGAGAUUGAAGACGAGUUCAAUCACUUUUUCUCCUGCAACAUAUGAAAAAGAUGGGUACUUAGUUUCUUCUAGCCUACCGUGCUGCCAUAUAUUGUUCUCUCCUACGACAAGUUCUUUUGACAGCUUUGAAAGCUCUAUCCAUGCAUAUUCAUUUACUGAUGCCUGAUCUCUGGACUUUUCUAUGCUUUGUAUUGCACUUUAUCAUAGAUAGAUGGUACGUUCUGUUUGCUCUUACGCCGAUAUUCAUGUAUGCUGAGUACCAAAAUACUAAUAUAGUGAGCAUUUUAUGUAGUAUAUUCACAGUAUUUGAUCCAUCGGAAAAAAUGCUGGCAAAAUAGAUUGGUAUUUAGAAAAAUUUGUUGCUACCUGCAGUUCUAUUCUCCUUUCAUAGUCUCUUGCUCCGGCUCUUGGUCUCAGGCAGAUGUGUGUAGCCUGCAGGUCGCAACACUGAAGAAUGGAGCGGUUGGUGGAGGGCGUCUCUACAUUUGUUUCCAGAGAGAUAAUGAAAUAGAUGCUGAUUACAUCUUAAACUAAGGUGGUAUGUAUGCAGUGAUCUUUUGAUGGCCUAUGGUAGAACCAAGAAUUAUACAUGAACACUACUAAUGUGCUCAGUUCACCUGAACUAAAUGAUGGGCGCGUACCAAGCUUCAAGAAAUUUUCCUGGAGGCACAUUCAUGUAUUUUUGUUCUGUUGGGUACAUUUUGAUAUAUUUGCCGUCCUUCUGGUUUCCAAUUUAUCUUAUUUUCGUAUUUGUCAUUUUGAUUUUCUUAAGUAGUGGAGUUUGUAAAUGAUACCGUUUAUUAUUGAAGAUAACUUGCUAAUGCUUAUCAACCACUAUGUACUUUAUACUCAUUUAUACAAGUGACUCUUGCAAGUUUCUUAACUAGGUAUUCACGGUACUACCAAUAUGCAUGAAUGGAGUUGAGGAAUUUCAAAGCGCCUUUAAAAGGUUGUAUGGGUCGUUGCUACCAUCAUUGUUUAAGAGUUUCAAGUUGUAAUAUGGCCACUUACAGAAGGAGUAACAAAUUCGCUAGAAAGUUAAUGUAUUCGCAGUUCUUGGUGUAAGAAUGUUAUCAAGUGAGUUUAGUUUUGGUUUCUAUCUAAAUGUCCACUUCAAAAAAACAAAGACCAAUAUAGAGUUUUCAGUAU